CCCUCUCAGAGCAUAGAGUGUAAUGCAAAAAAUUCUAUGUCAGAAAUAUGCACAGCAUGCCAUGAAAAUACAAACACAAGGCCGAAUGCCACCAAGAAGAUAGGAGUGAGGAGAGUCACUUUCCAGAAGAAGCACCUGCACCUAAGAAGCCAAGAGACGGGGCAGGGGGAUUUCCAUUAGAAGCAACAGAACCGAGGGCAGGAGAAUACGCAAGUGAACUGGCAAUAGCUUCAAAUUUCUGACCUGCAGGCUGUGGACGAGGAGAUGGUGUAGCCACGACAACUGCCAAUGGAGAGAUUUCACUCAUUUUUCGGCUCGGCCAUCCAUUCCAAGCUACUUCCUGAGAGCCUGAUCCAGCACUGUACACCGACUUUGGGAUGCAGCAGUGAACAAGCCAGACGGCCCUGCCUCAGUGAGUGAGGCUUACAUCCAAGAGGUGGACUCUUCUCAGGAUUUCGAGCUGUGCUUGUGGACAAUGGACAACUAUGGUGAAAGGCAAAGAUGCCAAGGAGCGGUUACCAAGUUACCAGUUACCAUAUCUAAACUAUUUAGAGUCGGCUCCAAGGUGAGAGUUUACAAAGACCUGUGGUCUACAACGGAAUGGACUAAAAAGACAUAUUUGUCUAUAAAUUGCUAGAGAUGCUGAAGGUAGAUGGUACAGACACAUGGCUUAUUUUGCAGAGAAGACUCAGUCUAAUACAACUAAGGACCAUGGUACAACUUGCCUCGAUAAUUCAACAAGAAUAAGUAACAAAAAAAAGAAACCUUAAUUUUUAUUACUAAAAAUUGGGAAAAUUACCCAUAGAAUUGUACACACAAAGAGGGAGCCCUAAUAUAUAGACUUUAGCUAAUAAGAAUGUAUUAAAUUUGGUUCAUCAAUUUUAAUAAACAGUCACAUUAAUGUAAGAUAUUAAUAGGGGAAAUUGGGGGAGGGGUGAUUUGGGAACACUGUACUUUCUGUGCAAUUUUUCUGUAAACCUAAA